rnacentral:sRNA from 2 species
UCCGGGAAACCGACCAGACCCUUGGGCAGGGGCGGGGGACCCAGGUUUUUCUGCCGUUCCCCACGGCUUGGGGUGAAGCCGCAUCAGGUGGAAGAAGGAUUCCGCCCGAGGCGGCCGGGCCACCUCCCGGUCCGAACCCGACAGCUCACCUCGCAGGCGUGCGGAGAGGGACA